CACGUAGGGUGCGAGCGUUGUCCGGAAUUAUUGGGCGUAAAGAGCUCGUAGGCGGUGUGUCGCGUCGGCCGUGAAAACCUGCAGCUUAACUGUGGGCUUGCGGUCGAUACGGGCAUCACUGGAGUUCGGCAGGGGAGACUGGAAUUCCUGGUGUAGCGGUGAAAUGCGCAGAUAUCAGGAGGAACACCGGUGGCGAAGGCGGGGCUCUGGGCCGAUACUGACGCUGAGGAGCGAAAGCGUGGGGAGCGAACAGG
rnacentral:rRNA from 1 species